AGAGUUUGAUCCUGGCUCAGGAUGAACGCUGGCGGCGUGCCUAAUACAUGCAAGUCGAGCAACCACUUCGGUGGUGAGCGGCGAACGGGUGAGUAACACGUAGGUGAUCUGCCCAUCAGAGGGGACAACGAUUGGAAACGAUCGCUAAUACCGGAUAGGACGAAAGUUUAAAGGUGCUCCGGCACCGCUGAUGGAUGAGCCUGCGGCGCAUUAGCUAGUUGGUAGGGUAAAGGCCUACCAGGCGACGAUGCGUAGCCGACCUGAGAGGGUGAACGGCCACACUGGGACUGAGACACGGCCAGACUCCUACGGGAGGCAGCAGUAGGGAAUCUUCGGCAAUGGGCGAAAGCCUGACCGAGCACGCCGCGUGAAUGAUGAAGGCCUUCGGGUUGUAAAAUUCUGUUAUAAGGGAAGAACGACUUAGUAGGAAAUGGCUAAAGUGUGACGGUACCUUAUGAGAAAGCCACGGCUAACUACGUGCAGCAGCCGCGGUAAUACGUAGGUGGCAAGCGUUAUCCGGAAUUAUUGGGCGUAAAGAGCCGCAGGUGGUUGAUUAAGUCUGAUGUGAAAGCCCACGGCUUAACCGUGGAGGGUCAUUGGAACUGGUCGACUUGAGUGCAGAAGAGGGAAGUGGAAUUCCAUGUGUAGCGGUGAAAUGCGAGAGAUAUGGAGGAACACCAGUGGCGAAGGCGGCUUCCUGGUCUGUAACUGACACUGAGGGCGAAAGCGUGGGGAGCAAACAGGAUUAGAUACCCUGGUAGUCCACGCCGUAAACGAUGAUGCUAAGUGUUGGGGG
rnacentral:rRNA from 1 species